GCCGAUACAACGGCAACACUGGUGACAACUGACAAGACAGACUCCAUCGGCGACGUACGUAGAUCGUAGAGGGUUACUGAAGCUUUUGGAUCCAGGUUUUAUAUCCAGAAAUGCUGGAAGGUCUCGAAUUUCGCGUAAAUAAUGAUUCAACAAGAACGCUAUUAAGUAGCCAACGCUUCCUUACUGUUAAUGUACUGGAGCCAGGCAAUACCUGUCUGAUAAUAAAUUGGUAGCUCGACUUUCUCUCUACGUAUUUGGAAUUGAACUUUUUUGGAUGCAUACUUCUGGCAGCAAGAUGUCAUUAAUGAUGGAAGUUAGUUCACUACUGAAAUGAAAGGCUUACAGGGAGAAAUUAGUUACACUUGAGCAGAAUCAUGGGCGAUGCACCAUCUACAGAAGAAUUACAGAUGAAACUCCACAAGAAUCACCAGCAGCAAAAUUACGCUGCAGUGAAUGUACCCUUAUGUCUUCAAUUGGGAUUCAUCUGUCUCCACGUCUCUUCCUUCAGGCUUACAAGGAGUAAUUAAUAACACUUGAGCACAAGCAUGGGUGAUGCAGUAUCUACAGAUGAAACUCCACAAGAAUCACGGGAUACACCUUAUGUCUUCAAUAAGGAUUCAUCUGAUCUCCACGUGUUCCCUCCUUCAGGCUUACAGGGAGUAAUUAGUAACACCUGAGCACAAGCAUGGGCGAUGCAGCAUCUACAGAAGGAACUCCACAAGAUUUACAGGUAGCAAAAUUACUCCGCAUUGUCUCUUCAAUUAGUGAUGCUUGAGCACAAGCAUGGGGGAUGCAUCCUUUACAGAAGAAAUUCCACAAGAAUUACAGGUAGCAAAUUUACUCCGCAUUGGAUAUACCCCUUGUGUCUUCAAUUGGGAUUCAUCUAAUCUCCUCUUUCUUCAGGGUUACUAGGAGUAAUUAGUAACACUUGAGCACAAGCAUGGACGUUGCAGUAUCUACAGAUGAAGCUCCACAAGAAUCACAGGAUACACCUCAUGUCUUCAACUUGGGAUUCAUAUGAUCUUCUCGUGUAUCCUCCUUCUGGAUUACAGGGAGUAUGUAAUUAGUAACAUUUGAGCACAAGCAUGGGGGAUGCAGCAUCUACAGAAGAAAUUCCACAAGAAUUACAGGUAGCAAAAGUACUUUUGCAAUGGAUAUCCCCUUCUGUCUUCAAUUACGAUUCAUCUGACCUUCACAUCUAUCCUUCUUCAGGCUUACAAGGCGUAAUUAGUGACAUCUGAGUAGAAGCAUGGGUGAUGAUGCUGCAUUUACAGAUGAAACUCCACAGGCAUCACAGGUAGCAAAAUUACUUCAGAGUGGUUAAUUACCCCUCCUGACGUCAAUUGGGAUUAUUCUGAUCUCCUUGUCUCCUUCUUCAGGCUUACAAGGAGUAAUUAUUAACACUUGAAGCAUGGGCAAUGCAGCAUCUACAGAUGAAAAUCAAGAAUCACAGGUAGCAAUACUACUAAGCUGUGAAUAUACCCUCUCCGUCUUCCAGUUGAAGACAGAAGGGGUAUAUAUAUCCACUGCUACCUGUAAUGCUCGAGUUUCAUCUGUAAUGUUGCACCACCCAUGCUUCUGCUCAAGUGUCACUAAAUACUACUGGUAAGCCUAAAGAAGGAUAGAUGUGUAGAUCAUAAGAAUCCUAGUUGAAGACAGAAGGGGUAUCAGCUACUGAAAAGUAAUUUUGCUGUCUGUGAUUCUAGUGGAGUCUCAUCUGUAGUUGCUGCAUCGUCUAUGCUUCUGCUCAAGUGUUACUAAGUACUCCUUGUAAGCUUGAAAAACGAUGGAUGGGGAGAUCAAUGAAUCCCAAUUAGAUUCAUCAGAUCUCACCUCCUAUCCUUUUUCAGGCUUACAAGGAGUAAUUUGUGACAUUUGUGAGAAGCAUGGGUGAUGAUGCAGCAUCUACAGAUGAAACUCCACUAGCAUCACAGGUAACAAAAUUACUCCAUAAUGGAUUGGGACUUGCUGAUGUAGAAAGAAAGACAUUUUACUCAUUAUAAGUAGCUUUUAAAACUAACAUUUAGAAA